AGAUUAUCUCCUUGGGACGUUGAAAGGGAAUUGUCAGUUCUCGUUCCAAUAGCCCUGGAAACUAGCCCAGACGCCCAGCUAGAGAGAGAGAGGGGAAAAAUAUGGCAGGGCGGGACGGAGCCUGCCGUAAAUGAAAGAGAGCCGUGAGAAGUGUUUGCCAUUAAAAUCUAUUUAGCCAGCAGUGAGGAGCGGACACCGGAACCAGGCAAAAUACAGGGCAGCUCAGGGGUCCUGGCUGGGAGAGAGGGCUUUCUGAGUGCAAGGAGCAUGCCAACGUGAAAACCGAAAAUAACCCACACACACGCAUCAUCGGACGGAGGCUGGUGUGUCCCCACAUCAGCAACAGGCCGGCCCCUCAACCUUUCCAGGGCCGGGGUGAGAAUCUCUUCAGCUCCUCUCAGCUGCCAGGCAUGCUCAGCCACGCCUCACUGAUUUACACUGGAAGCCAUGGCAGGAGCCAGGGCCACCGUGGACCCUCUGAAAAACAAACCACUGACAGGCACCAACCACAGGAGUGUGGGGACUCUCUCUCCCCUGAUCUGCACCAGGAGCAGGGUCACAGCCUCUACAGGCUGUCUUGA
rnacentral:lncRNA from 1 species